rnacentral:rRNA from 1 species
GACGAACGCUGGCGGCGUGCCUAAUACAUGCAAGUAGAACGCACAGUUUAUACCGUAGCUUGCUCCACCAUAAACUGUGAGUUGCGAACGGGUGAGUAACGCGUAGGUAACCUGCCUGGUAGCGGGGGAUAACUAUUGGAAACGAUAGCUAAUACCGCAUAAUAUUAAUUAUUGCAUGAUAAUUGAUUGAAAGAUGCAAUUGCAUCACUACCAGAUGGACCUGCGUUGUAUUAGCUAGUAGGUGAGGUAACGGCUCACCUAGGCGACGAUACAUAGCCGACCUGAGAGGGUGAUCGGCCACACUGGGACUGAGACACGGCCCAGACUCCUACGGGAGGCAGCAGUAGGGAAUCUUCGGCAAUGGACGAAAGUCUGACCGAGCAACGCCGCGUGAGUGAAGAAGGUUUUCGGAUCGUAAAGCUCUGUUGUAAGAGAAGAACGGGUGUGAGAGUGGAAAGUUCACACUGUGACGGUAUCUUACCAGAAAGGGACGGCUAACUACGUGC